AACCCACUUCAUCAGAUGAUGAGCUCAUGAUGUGCUCAUCAUCUGAUGAAGUGGGUUUU
rfam:Pelodiscus sinensis unplaced genomic scaffold scaffold914, whole genome shotgun sequence.